GUGGGUGUGGUGUAUGGUACACAGCUGCAGUAAAUUCUGAGGUUAGGACUUUGCAAGCAGCAGCAGACUGGGUUCGACUCCCAGCACCUGCA